rnacentral:lncRNA from 1 species
CCUGAAGCUCCUCGUCCUCCUCCAGCUGCGGGGUCAGGCCAUCGGUGUCGUCCUCUGGAACAGAGCCAAGCCCACCCCAGGGGAGUCCGUGGGAGGUGAAGGAGGCCAAGGCCGCCCCAGGCUCCCUGCGGGUCACCACCUUCUCUGUCCAGUUCCGGGAAAGCACUGGCCGUCCUGCCUGCCUGUGGCUGUUCCUGCUACAGCCCUAAGCAGGCUCCACAGCAGCACAGCACACCCCUCUCCAGCCCGGCCCAGAGCAGGCCCAGGGAAAUGCAAGGUGCCGCUGGCCCUCACCGCCCUCUGAGAGCUCCACCUCGCCGGCCUCCAGGGCUUCGCUCUCCGCUGUGGCUGCCGCCUCCUCCGCCUCCUCCUCCUCAUCUUCAUCUUCAGCUACACUGAGCUCCCGUAGUCUGGUUUCGGUCUCAGGGGCCUCCUGGGGCUGCAGCCUCAGCUGCACGGUAUGGAGAUGCUGCAAGACCUGCCUCUGAGGAGCAGAGGGAUGCUCAGCUCAGGACUGGGGGCUGUGGACGCAGAGAAAGAUGGGGAUGGGGCACAAGGGGCAGGCAGGCUGCAACGAAGCUGGGCUCACCGGGGAGCCAGUAUGGGUGGGAUGGGCUCUCGCACCUGCAGCUGGGGACGCUGGGCCUGCUGGGCACAGCUGAGCGCUUUCUGGAAGCACGGGGCCAGCAGCUCGUAGGCAUCGCCGGCCUCCUCGCGGGACAGUGCAAUGUUCAGCCAGGUCUUGGCCUCCUGGAGCAGGAGGAAGGACAGGGUCGGGGGCUGCCGCUGUCUGCGUCCAACGGGCCCCAGUCAAGCUUCCCCGGCUGCCCAGACGAAAUGGGAGCCCGGCCUCCCAGCUGCCGAGGGUGGAUGGUCCUAGGAAGGAGCUGCCCGUCCAGUAAGGACACCUGUCCAUGGCCACCCUGAGAACGGCAGUCCUGAGGCAGAGACAUGGGUGAACCUGCAUUCGGGCGGGGAGCAAGGGUUUCACCUCCAGCACGUUGCCGCUGCGCAGCCUCAGUUCCUCCUCAUAGUGGCGCACGGCCCCAUGGUGGUCCUUCAUGUCUCCCAGUGUGGUGGCCAGGGACACGUGGAUGAUGGCCCGCUCAGCACCCGGUCUGUCCAGCAGCUCAGCAAAACGCAGCUGGGGGCAGUGCCAGUGAGGCCAGGGGCUGCCACCCUGGCCAGGCCUCGUCAACCUCACUGGCCCUUCCCUCCCACCCAGCCGGGGCCACACACCUGCUUCUGGUAAGCCUCAGCUGCCCUGGGAAAGUCUCCUGCCUUGGAGAAGAGGUCCCCUAGCUGCUCACAGAUGACCAUGGCACCCUGAGGGUCUCUGCCCUCAGCCUCUUCCAGCUGUUGCUGCAGCCGGACCACUGCCAGCACUGCCGGGAAGAGGUUCAUGCAGGGGGGCAGCACAGGGGGCCCUGACCCCAGCUCUACCACCUGCAAGCUGUGAGCCCUGUGGUGGCCCCCCCACUCUCUCCACACCUCUGCCUGCCUGUUGGUGUGGGGGUUAAUAGCAGGGUCUAUCUUGGGGACUGGUCUCAAGGGUCACAAGAACUAACACACUUAAAAACUCGGGGCCAGGUACAGUGGCUCACGCCUGUAAUCCUAGGACUUUGGGAGGCCGAGGCGGGCAGAUCAUGAGGUCAGGAGAUCGAGACCAUCCUGGCUAACAUGGUGAAACCUCGUCUCUACUAAAAAUACAAAAAAUCAGCCGGGUGUGGUGGCGGGCACCUGUAGUCCCAGCUACUCGGGAGGCUGAGGCAGGAGAAUGGCAUGAACCCGGGAAGCGAAGCUUGCAGUGAGCCGAGAUCAUGCCACUGCACUCCAGCCUGGGUGACAGAGCGAGACUCCGUCUCAAGAAAAAAAAACAACACAACAUGGAUGGUGCCUGGCUCAAAGUAAGGGCUGACGGCUGCCAACCUCCAAUGGUGGUCUCUGCCAUCAGCACUCCUGGACCACGCGUGCCAUCUCCUCUCCCACCCUGGGAGGCUAGGGGUACAACUACUGUCUCCAGUUUGCCAAUGAAGAUGGUGGCUGCGAAAUAAAAGCCCAGCUGGUCUCCUGGCCGCCCUUUCAUUGCCCCUGACACACUGUGUUGAGCUCAGAGAAAAAAGGGGGUCUUCUCCUGUCAGGAAGUAGGGGUACCUGCCCCUCUUGCUGAAGCUGCUGCCUCCAAGGACAGGUGCUCAGGCCUCCUCUGUGAGGGAGAGAGCCCUGUACACACCUGGCGGGACUCCACCCCGCCCCCAGGCUCACCCCUGCACACACCUCCCAGGGCCCCAUUCGCACCCCCAGGCUCACCAUGCUGGAGGUUCUGACAGAUGGCUGCCCUCUGCACAGGCUUCUGGGAGCCCAGCCUGUAGGCCUUCUUCAGGGCUCGCUUGGCAGCCAAAAAGUCUCCCAGGUCUUGGAGGACCU